UACGUAGGUGGCAAGCGUUGUCCGGAAUUAUUGGGCGUAAAGCGCGCGCAGGCGGUCCUUUAAGUCUGAUGUGAAAGCCCGCGGCUCAACCGUGGAGGGUCAUUGGAAACUGGGGGACUUGAGUACAGAAGAGAAGAGUGGAAUUCCACGUGUAGAGGUGAAAUGCGUAGAGAUGUGGAGGAACACCAGUGGCGAAGGCGACUCUUUGGUCUGUAACUGACGCUGAGGCGCGAAAGCGUGGGGAGCAAACAGG
rnacentral:rRNA from 1 species